rnacentral:rRNA from 1 species
CCUAAUACAUGCAAGUCGAGCGCAGGAAACUGACGGAACUCUUCGGAGGGAAGGCAGGGGAAUGAGCGGCGGACGGGUGAGUAACACGUAAGGAACCUGCCUCAAGGAUUGGGAUAACUCCGAGAAAUCGGAGCUAAUACCGGAUAGUUCAUCGGACCGCAUGGUCCGUUGAUGAAAGGCGCUCCGGCGUCACCUUGAGAUGGCCUUGCGGUGCAUUAGCUAGUUGGUGGGGUAACGGCCCACCAAGGCGACGAUGCAUAGCCGACCUGAGAGGGUGAUCGGCCACACUGGGACUGAGACACGGCCCAGACUCCUACGGGAGGCAGCAGUAGGGAAUCUUCCACAAUGGACGAAAGUCUGAUGGAGCAACGCCGCGUGAGUGAUGAAGGUUUUCGGAUCGUAAAACUCUGUUGUAAGGGAAGAACACGUACGAGAGGAAAUGCUCGUACCUUGACGGUACCUUACGAGAAAGCCACGGCUAACUACGUGC